rnacentral:lncRNA from 1 species
CCACAGCAGAGAGGAGGUGCGCAGUCGUCAGGGGGACCAGGGCCCCUGCCAGGCGAGGAGAGGACAGCGUUCUCCCCCAUCCUCCCGAACCCACAUACCCGAGGGCAGAGAACAACAAAAGAACAGAUCUACAAGGUCCGCGGGACACGAGUCAGGGAUGUGCUGAUCUGUCAGGAAGGAUCGGGAAAGAGCUACUUAGCAGGUAUCGACCACCUUGAUCCAGGCCCUGGGGGUUCCGACCCAGUCACUGUGCUCAGGGAACGGAACUUCUGUGGAGAGAGAAAACCCGAACCAAACCAAAAUACAGAUCAACCAAUGAAGCCGGCACACGCCUCAGGCGAUUGUCACAAGAAAAGAACAUAAGAGUUCUGCUAAUGACAUCUGAUGGAGUACACGAGUAUUUUCUCUUUAAGGCCAAUGAAAAACCUCAGAAAUUACAGAGGAAACGAACAUAAAAGGACUCUGCAAGGUAUGGAGGAGAAGGGAGACCAGCUAGGAACCUGGGAAACAACACAGUGGUGAAUUCCCUUGGCCUUAAAUAUCCUACACUGAGAGUCAAAACACCAAAGGGAAUUGUAAAAAACCAAGUCUUUCUCCAAAGCUUGGUCUCUCUAACCAAAGGUCAGUCUAG